CCUACGGGCGGCAGCAGUGAGGAAUAUUGGUCAAUGGGCGCGAGUCUGAACCAGCCAAGUAGCGUGAAGGAUGACUGCCCUACGGGUUGUAAACUUCUUUUAUAAAGGAAUAAAGUGAGUCACGUGUGCCUUUUUGUAUGUACUUUAUGAAUAAGGAUCGGCUAACUCCGUGCCAGCAGCCGCGGUAAUACGGAGGAUGCAAGCGUUAUCCGGAUUUAUUGGGUUUAAAGGGUGCGUAGGCUGUGAGGUAAGUCAGCGGUGAAAUGCCCCGGCUCAACGGGGUGACGUGCCAUGGAUACUGGCUGGCUGGAGUGCGGAUGCGGUAGGAGGAAUGUGUGGUGUAGCGGUGAAAUGCAUAGAUAUCACGCAGAACUCCGAUUGCGAAGGCAUCUCAC
rnacentral:rRNA from 1 species